UGGGGGAUAUUGCACAAUGGGCGAAAGCCUGAUGCAGCGACGCCGCGUGGGGGAUGAAGGCUUUCGGGUUGUAAACCUCUUUCGCUAUCGAACAAGGCCCGCUUAGGGUGGGUUGAGGGUAGGUGGAGAAGAAGCGCCGGCUAACUACGUGCCAGCAGCCGCGGUAAUACGUAGGGCGCGAGCGUUGUCCGGAAUUAUUGGGCGUAAAGUGCUUGUAGGCGGCUUGUUGCGCCUGCUGUGAAAACGCGGGGCUUAACUUCGCGCGUGCAGUGGGUACGGGCAGGCUUGAGUGUGGUAGGGGUGACUGGAAUUACAGGUGUAGCGGUGGAAUGCGCAGAUAUCUGGAGGAACACCGAUGGCGAAGGCAGGUCACUGGGCCAUUACUGACGCUGAGGAGCGAAAGCAUGGGUAGCGAACAGG
rnacentral:rRNA from 1 species